rnacentral:rRNA from 1 species
UACAGAGGUGCCGAGCGUUAGGCGGAAUCACUGGGCUUAAAGCGUGUGUAGGCGGGCGGGCAAGUACCUUGUGAAAUCCCACGGCUCAACCGUGGAACGGCUGGGUAUACUGCCUGUCUUGAGCCAACUAGGGGCGAGCGGAACAGACGGUGGAGCGGUGAAAUGCGUAGAUAUCGUCUGGAACGCCAAAGGUGAAAACAGCUCGCUGGGGUUGUGCUGACGCUGAGACACGAAAGCCAGGGGAGCGAACGGG